CGAACAUUUCCUUGACAGGCAGAAUAGUCAGAGCACUUAGAAAAAUGAAGUAGUUGGUGCACAGUGAGAUGUGGAGCAAACCAGAAGUGAUGGAAAAAGCUAUACAGGUACAGCAAGAGGCUCAAACUACAUCACCAUCACUCCAGUCUGAAGAACUGAAGCCAGAGGAAGCCUCCUUAAUGUAUCUCUGCCAUCUAUGGACUGCAGACAGGGUUGAAACAGGGACUGCAGAGAUGCCCCUGGCAGCUAUGUUGGCUGAGUAUCCAGAGUUUGCACAGUCUCUCUCCCUCACACCGCUGUCCUUUCUAUACCAGUG